AAGGCUAUACUUUCAGGGAUCAUUUCUAUAGUUCAUCACCAAGGAAGUUCUCUGAACAUGUAGAACACCGAGACAAGAAAUAACUAAAUCAGA
ensembl:snoRNA U3 Small nucleolar RNA U3